UCAACACAGAGCUAUAAUGCUAGUACACACCCAUAUGUAUGCAUCCUGAGCAUUGAGAAGAGACAGUUUUAUGUGGAUUUAGAGAUAUAACAUAGCAAAAUUAUCCAGAAUAUUACAAUAGCAUUUCAUGGCUUUGUUAAAAUGCCCUAAAAGACACAAGUGCUGAGCCUUUCAGCACCACCAGCCAAGUGCUGUGCUAUGAAAUACUGCUGAUGCUAGCAAAUACUACUGAUGCUGCCAAACAUCGCAGCCCUUUGGCUUGUGUUACUCGGUAGUCAUGAACUUUGCACAUCUGCAAAAGCUGGUCUGAGCUGGUCUCACUCUGGCUCAGGCUUUGCUGUCCUUGAUGUCAUAGAUGAGAAGAGCUGCAGGAGUAGGGGGGAUGGUGGCAUCCGUAGAAGACAUGCCAAAGUCUGAAUCAUGCAAGAAAGUGAUUAAUGCUGAUUAAUGCCAUUCCCUUCCAGAUAAGCUCCUGAUGGGUCCGGCUGCCAAGCUACACAAGCUACAGACUCAUUGGAUGAUGCUGUCAGUCAGCCAGACUUCACAUGGGCACAAAUUGUACUUUCUACAGAGGAAGCGGAAGAGAAAAAAAACAAAAAGAAGAUGAGUGCAAGACCACUAAUCUUUGCACUGGUCUCUGCCAGUUAAAGUUUUACAUUACUGGAGAAGAGCACAAGUUUCCAGGUGGUGAUGGUUCAUAGAGACAUUCCUCGGCCACUGCUCGCUGCCAGGCAGCAUCACUGGGGACAUACCUGUACACCCGCACUCAUCCUGCCCAAAACCACUGCUUUACCAAGACCUCCAGGCAAAGGGAAUUGUGACUUGGAGCCCUGAAAAGCCGUUUGACCUCCAUCACCUGCUGAACACCCCAGGUUUUAUUUACCAAAACAGAAAAGGCAUGGCUGAAUGUUGAAGUUUUGUGUUUUAUUGUGGUUGGCACCAGAAAUGUGUUUGCUCUGCGGUAUGCUCAGAUACACACUCCAUAGACAAGCCUCCUUCAAUACUAGUUUUUUGUUAUUUUUGUCUCAACUGAUGCUAAGAUUUU